GCUGACUCUUCGGACUCAGCCGGCCUGCACCCAGGUGAAAUAAACAGCCAUGUUGCUCACACAAAGCCUGUUUGGUGGUCUCUUCACAUGGACGCGCAUGAAAUUUGGUGCCGUGACUUGGAUAGGGGGACCUCCCUUGGGAGAUCAAUCCCCCGUCCUCCUGCUCUUUGCUCCAUAAGAAAGAUCCACCUACGACCUCACGUCCUCAGACCGACCAGCCCAAGAAACAUCUCAGCAAUUUCAAAUCCGGUUCCAAACCUUAUGAAUCUACUGUAGCUGAUCUAGAUACACUUCAGGUCUCAGCUGAGAACUCACAUCCUUCUGAAGCUUAUAAGACUUGGGCAAAAUCCAACUUGAAUCAAUUAGUGAAACAGAAUGAAUCCACCUUUUCACCACUUCAAUCAAAUGCCAGUUAGUAGCAAUUAGUACUCACUGAAGAUGAUAUACGAUCCUGAAAAUUCUAAUCAGAGAUGGCAUUUCACCAUGUUGCCUGGGUUGGUCUCAAACUCCUGAGCUGAAAGUGAUCCUCCCACCUUUGCCUCUCAGUGUUGGGAUUACAGAAAUGAGCCACCACACCUGGCCCACAGACACCUUCUAAUAUGCUUAUGUGCAUGUCCACAUUAGUGAAUGGAAGAAUGCUUUCUUCUGUCUCUAUGGAAAAAAAAUCCUGGGGAGAAAUUCAAGCUAGCUGAAGAAAUUUGCAUAAGUAAUGGGGAACCAAAUGUUAAUCACCAAGACAAUGGGGAAAAUGUCUCCAGGGCAUUUCAGAGAUCCUAGAGGCAGCUUUUCCCAUCACAGGCCUGGAGGCCUAAGAGGGAAAAAGUGGUUUCUUGGGUUAACCUUGGGAUGUGGCAUCCUGCAUCCCAGUCACUCCAGCUCCAGCCACGGAUACAAGGGCCAAGGUACAGCUCAGCCCAUUGCUUCAAAGGGUGGAAGCCCUAAACGUUGACAGCUUCCAUGUGGUGUUGAGCCUGCGAAUGCACAGAAGACAAGAGUUGAGGUUUGAGUACCUCCACCUAGAUUUCAGAGGAUAUAUGGAAAUACCUGGAUGUCUAGGCAGAAGUGUGCUGCAGGGGCAGAGCCCUCAUGGAGAACCUUUGCUAAGGCAGUGUGGAAGGGAAAUGUGUGGGUUGGAUACCCCACAGAGAGUCCCCACUGGGGCACUGCCUAAUGGAGCUGUGAGAAGAGAUCCGAUAUCCUCCAGACCCCAGAAUGGUAGAUCCACCUACAGCUUGCCCCAUGCACCUGGAAAAGCCACAGACACUCAACACCAGCCCAUAAAAGCAGCCAGGAGGGGGACUGUACGCGGCAGAGCCACAGGAUGGAGCUUUCCACAACUGUGGGAGCCCACUCCUUGCAUCGGCAUGCCCUGGAUGUGAGACAUGGAGUCAAAGGAGAUUUUGGACCUUUAAAAUUUAAUGACUGCCCAGCAGGGUUUCAGACUUGCAUGGGGCCUGUGGCCCCUUUGUUUUGGCCAGUUUCUUCCAUUUUGAAUCGGAACAUUUACCCAAUGAUUCUACCCUCACUGUGUCUUGGAAGUAACUAACACCUGCUUAUUGAUUUUACAGGCUCAUAGGUGGAAGGGACUUGUCUUUUCUCAGGUGAAACUUUGGACUUGGACUUUUGAGUUAAUGCUGGAUGAGAUAAAACUUUGGGGGCUUUUGGGAAGGCAAUGACUGGUUUUGAAAUGUCAAGACAUGAGAUUUGGGAUGUGCCAGGGGUGGAAUGAUAUGAUUUGGCUCUGUGCCCCCACCCAAAUCUCACUUCAAAUUGUAAUCCCCAUGUGAUGUGGGAGGGACCAGGUGAGAGGUGAUUGGAUCAUGGGGGUGGUUUUCCCCAUGCUGUUCUCAUGACAGUGGGGAGUUCUCAUGCGAUCCGAUGGUUUAAAAGUGAAAGUUUCCCCUGUGCUCUCUCUCUU
ensembl:lncRNA novel transcript